GGUCCACCACUUUGGUCAUUACUGAAAUAUCUCAACUAUUAUUGGAUAGAUUGUCAUUAAAUGGUGUAUAAACAUUCAUGGUCCCAAGAGGAU